GACGCGCAGACACCAGCCCCCUGCCCCGCCCCAUCACACCGCAAGGGAAGCGGUUCUGGUCCCAGGCCCCACAGGCUCCAGCACGAGCUUUCCCUUGCGGGCGUAAAGCACCUCCCUGGUGGCUGACAGAGCUAAAGUGCUGGGUGUUUACCAAGACGGCUAUUUGGGGAAAAGGCAGAGAAAAGCAACAUCUUCGCCAGCUUCCCGCCAGCCCCCCGAGCACAUGAAUUACUCCCGAGAGCUCAUUUUGAUGAUCCUUUGCCGAAAGACUCAAGUUUAUUUUGCUUUCAUCUGCCCAGAAGAAUGCGAGGUGAUUGUAAAGCUGUGAAGAGGCGGCGAGGCGGAGGGAUCUGGUGUGGUGAUGGCACACGAGAGUGUAAUCCGUCCUCGGCUUACCCAGCAGUCUGGCCACAUUCUGGGGGACAAAGGCCCUGACCCCAAGCGUCAGGUUCCUGGGAUGGUCGGCACCCCAUCACGCCCUCCCCAGACAAAGACUGACCCUGAGAGAGAAGUGACCAGCUGAGACUGACCAAGCCACUGGACUGCAGGACUCCCGGCCUCCACCUGACAGCUCCACUGCUGCCCACACCUGAACCAGGGCUCUUCCUAGAGGCUGCCCUUGAAAACCUUCUGCCAGGGGUACCUUUGCCCCUGUGCUGCCACCCCAUGGGCCCUCCCCUGCGCCUGACGGGGGUGGGGGGGAAGGCCUGUUCUGCACCGGGUCCCUCUGAGACUCGAGGGCACCCCAGCAUCCUACCCCAGGGUUUGCGCCUGGGAGGGGUGCUUGGAGCCCUUGGAGUCUAAAAAUGGCUGUGCUCUGGCCAACUUUCACUAAGGCUGCAGACAGAUGGGCACCAGCCUGGCACCUGCUGGUCAUCUGAGCAAGUGCCCCCUUGCUGCGACAGGGUCCUGAGGGGCACCCCUGUUCCCCAAGCUCCCUAGCCGUUCAGGGUUCUGG
rnacentral:lncRNA from 1 species